ACCCAUUUUCUAUUGGACCGGUGGUGUUCACUUUACAGUGACCCAUCCGAUCAGCCAUGCGUUUCUUGGACAUGACUCUUGAAUAAAACAGUUUACACAACUGGUAGCAUUGGAUCCCUUGGCACGCCAUUCGAUGAAGAACGUUGCAAACUGCGAUAAGUGAUGUGAAAUGCGAGUCCAAAACUUAUACGUGAAUCAUCGAAUCUUUGAACGCAUUGCAUCGAGCUUUGCCCAAGCACGAUAUGCCCCAUUGAGCGUCCUUAAGUCUUUGGAAGUCUGUAUUUAUUUACAUUCAUUCCAAGUCCGGGCUUCAUGGCUUCACCGUCACGCUGCCUUAGAUGUAUUAUGCGUCGCACUCCGGUUGCGCUCCUUGUUGUACACUUCAAGGUGCAUCCCAAUGCGUUACUGCACUUACGCUAAUCACCCUUGGUGAAAAGCAACACCGUGUUCUGUCCUCCUCGGACAGUUCACCCCUUCUUGACUUAACCUCACGGGGGCAAGACGACCCGCUAGACUUAAGCAUAUUAAUCAGCGGAGGAAAAGAAACUAACAAGGAUUCCCCUAGUAACUGCGAGUGAAGAGGGAAGAGCUCAAUGUGUGAAUCUGAUCGGGUGUAACGCCUGGUUCGAAUUGUGCACUAUUGACGCUGGAUCAGCGUUCGGAAACGACCGUCGGAUGUCCGGUGUAAUCCGGUGCCAUAGCGGGUAACAGCCCUGUACACGACACUCCGUAUCCACGCAUAUGACCAGUGUUCAUCGAGUCGCGUAGUUUUGUAUUGCUGCGCUAAUUGGGAGGUAGAGCCCUUCUAAAGCUAAAUAUUAUGGCGUGACCGAUAGCAAACAAGUACCGUGAGGGAAAGGUGAAAAGCAACCAUGCAGAAUGGGUUGAAACAGAAGUGAAAGUGCUACCGGGAUAAGGACUAUUGAUUACAAGUGUGGAUAGCGUGUGCUUCAGUGCUACGUUGACCGCCGUCGUGCAUCGAUUGGGGACUGGGGAGAACAGGGCAGUUGGGAAUUCGGCUCGGUCUCGAGUGUUGUAGCCCAGCGGCCAGUGGAACCCCCCUCGAU
rnacentral:rRNA from 1 species